GAUGAACGCUGGCGGCGUGCCUAAUACAUGCAAGUCGAGCGAACAGACGAGGAGCUUGCUCCUCUGACGUUAGCGGCGGACGGGUGAGUAACACGUGGAUAACCUACCUAUAAGACUGGGAUAACUUCGGGAAACCGGAGCUAAUACCGGAUAAUAUAUUGAACCGCAUGGUUCAAUAGUGAAAGACGGUUUUGCUGUCACUUAUAGAUGGAUCCGCGCCGCAUUAGCUAGUUGGUAAGGUAACGGCUUACCAAGGCAACGAUGCGUAGCCGACCUGAGAGGGUGAUCGGCCACACGGGAACGGAGACACGGUCCAGACUCCUACGAGAGGCAGCAGUAGGGAAUCUUCCGCAAUGGGCGAAAGCCUGACGGAGCAACGCCGCGUGAGUGAUGAAGGUCUUCGGAUCGUAAAACUCUGUUAUUAGGGAAGAACAAAUGUGUAAGUAACUAUGCACGUCUUGACGGUACCGAAUCAGAAAGCCACGGCUAACUACGUG
rnacentral:rRNA from 1 species